GGUGUGGCUCAAUGGCAGAGCACCAGCCUUGAACAGAAAAGCUAAGGGAGAGCUUGAGACUCUGAGUUCAAGUCUCAGUACC
rnacentral:tRNA from 1 species